ACCAAAGUAGUUUAAGCCAAAACACUAAUUUGUGGCAUUAGAAAAACCAGUUAAAACCCGGUCUGUGGUC
rnacentral:tRNA from 1 species